rnacentral:rRNA from 1 species
UACGUAGGGUGCAAGCGUUAAUCGGACUUACUGGGCGUAAAGCGUGCGCAGGCGGUUCUAUAAGACAGGUGUGAAAUCCCCGGGCUCAACCUGGGAACUGCAUUUGUGACUGUAGAGCUGGAGUACGGUAGAGGGGGAUGGAAUUCCGCGUGUAGCAGUGAAAUGCGUAGAUAUGCGGAGGAACACCGAUGGCGAAGGCAAUCCCCUGGACCUGUACUGACGCUCAUGCACGAAAGCGUGGGGAGCAAACAGG